rnacentral:snRNA from 1 species
AUACUUACCCAGAUAUCAUGAUUGUGAAGGUGAUUUUCCCAGGGAAAAACUUAUCUUUUACACUCUGGAUAUAUUGAUUCCUGUGAUUUCCCCAAAUGUGGGAAACUUCACUGCAUAAUUUGUGGUAGUGGGGGACUGCAUUCAUACUCUCCCCUG